rnacentral:ncRNA from 1 species
AUAAUAACUCCACCGGGAGUAAAUCGUAAAAGCGAUUAUUUGCAUUUCAGUAGGUCUUGGAAGAAAUGCAAAUAGUCGCUUUUUCUUA